UGGAGAUACGAGGAUCUCUGUCCUUUUCCAAACUGAGCACCCUGGACUGCAGAUCUGAUGUCCUCAGGGACAAUCCUUCUGGAACAACCUGGGGUUACACAGCAGUGAUGGUUCAUUGAGCUUACAGGUCUCUAACCUGCAAACUUUUGCAACUAGGCCUGCGGUUAGCUGAGCAGAUGAGCUUUGGACCUCCAGAAUCAAGAUCGCCGACCUCAAGCA